UACGAAGGGGGCUAGCGUUGUUCGGAAUCACUGGGCGUAAAGGGUGCGUAGGCGGGUUUUUAAGUCAGAGGUGAAAUCCUGGAGCUCAACUCCAGAACUGCCUUUGAUACUGAAAGUCUUGAGUACGGGAGAGGUGAGUGGAACUGCGAGUGUAGAGGUGAAAUUCGUAGAUAUUCGGAAGAACACCAGUGGCGAAGGCGGCUCACUGGACUGGUAUUGACGCUGAGGUGCGAAAGCGUGGGGAGCAAACAGG
rnacentral:rRNA from 1 species